AAAAAAUCCUUCUCGACUCUAAAAUGGCAGUCAGAUCACUCCUGCUUGGUGACUCAACUGUUCAAUUUGGAGAGGAAUUAACUUUCUUGUAUCAUAUGGGGAAUGACUAGGGAUAUUAUCAACCAAUGAAAGAAAAAUAUACUUUAAAAUCAUCCUGUGAAACAGAUUUUUUUUUUUUUUUUAAACCCACCUCUCACAAGAUCCACAAAUCCUUAAAGGACCCUCCAGGAUGACCCAUCAUUUCAGGUAUUGGAUCUGAUUAUCGGAGUGUCUUGAUUGCCAACUCCAGCCAGAAAUCUAAGGGGCUUAUAAGGGAUAGCAACAGUGCCAUCUUGAAAAUAUUAUGGGCCUCCAGCAAUGGAAGUGCAGUUGGCCCUGCCUACACAACCACUCACAGGAAUAAAAAUUUAAAUUAUC